rnacentral:rRNA from 1 species
AACGCUGGCGGCGUGCCUAACACAUGCAAGUCGAACGGGAAAACAGGGGCAACUCUGUGAGUACAGUGGCGUACGGGUGAGUAACACGUGACUACCUACCCUCGAGUGGGGGAUAACCCCGGGAAACCGGGGCUAAUACCGCAUAAUAUCGAGAGAUCAAAGGAGCAAUCCGCUUGAGGAGGGGGUCGCGGCUGAUUAGCUAGUUGGUGAGGUAACGGCUCACCAAGGCGAUGAUCGGUAGCCGGCCUGAGAGGGCGCACGGCCACACUGGAACUGAAACACGGUCCAGACUCCUACGGGAGGCAGCAGUGGGGAAUUUUGCGCAAUGGGGGAAACCCUGACGCAGCAACGCCGCGUGGAGGAUGAAGUCCCUUGGGACGUAAACUCCUUUCGACCCGGACGAUAAUG